rnacentral:rRNA from 1 species
AUUGAACGCUGGCGGCAGGCCUAACACAUGCAAGUCGAGCGGAUGAAGGGAGCUUGCUCCUGGAUUCAGCGGCGGACGGGUGAGUAAUGCCUAGGAAUCUGCCUGGUAGUGGGGGAUAACGUCCAGAAACGGGCGCUAAUACCGCAUACGUCCUGAGGGAGAAAGUGGGGGAUCUUCGGACCUCACGCUAUCAGAUGAGCCUAGGUCGGAUUAGCUAGUUGGUGGGGUAAAGGCCUACCAAGGCGACGAUCCGUAACUGGUCUGAGAGGAUGAUCAGUCACACUGGAACUGAGACACGGUCCAGACUCCUACGAGAGGCAGCAGUGGGGAAUAUUGGACAAUGGGCGAAAGCCUGAUCCAGCCAUGCCGCGUGUGUGAAGAAGGUCUUCGGAUUGUAAAGCACUUUAAGUUGGGAGGAAGGGCAGUAAGUUAAUACCUUGCUGUUUUGACGUUACCAACAGAAUAAGCACCGGCUAACUUCGUG